rnacentral:lncRNA from 1 species
GCAUCACAUCUACACCUGAGAUUUAGAAAGUUGUCUAUUACGUGGCUUUAACAUGUCAUCAGGGAGCCUCAGCACAUGCUCAGGCUUUUCUCCAAGUAAGUCCUCGAUGAUAAAGUCAGAGAUAAGAAAUAUUCAACUGGCAUUGAAGAUCCAGACUGAGAUGCUGGCAGAGGCCAGGCAAGCAACGACUUCACAAAUUAGUAAAGAAUGGGAGAAGAAAGAUUAUAGGAGUACGGGGCUGGAGAGAUGGCUCAGUGGUUAAGAGCACCUGACUGCUCUUCCAGAGGUCCUGAGUUCAAAUCCCAGCAACCACAUGGUGGCUCACAACCAUCUGUAAUGGGAUCUGAUGCCCUCUUCUGGUGUGUCUGAAGACAGCUGUAGUGUAUUUAUAU